rnacentral:rRNA from 1 species
AUUGAACGCUGGCGGCAGGCCUAACACAUGCAAGUCGAACGAGUGGCGGACGGGUGAGUAAUGUCUGGGAAACUGCCUGAUGGAGGGGGCUAACUACUGGAAACGGUAGCUAAUCCCUCAUACCAUCGGAUGUGCCCAGAUGGGAUUAGCUAGUAGGUGGGGUAAAGGCUCACCUAGGCGACGCUCCCUAGCUGGUCUGAGAGGAUGACCAGACACACUGUAACUGAGACACGGUCCAGACUCCUACGAGAGGCAGCAGUGGGGAAUAUUGCACAAUGGGCGCAAGCCUGAUGCAGCCAUGCCGCGUGGAUGAAGAAGGCCUUCGGGUUUUAAAGUACUUUCAGCGGGGAGGCGUUAACCGCAGAAGAAGCACAGGCUAACUCAGUGCCAGCAGCCGCGGUAAUAC